AUUUACCCCCACUACAUUUACUACCCCACAUUUCUCCCCUUCAUUUUCAUUCUUUCUUUAUUUUAUUUUACCCUUUUCUAUUUUUUGUAUUACUACACCUAAGAUUAAACAAGAAGAAACCAGAUAAACCAUCGGUCCCGACGACUUAUUACUGCCCAGCGCAGAAAGAACAUCAAAAACAUCUUGGGUAAAGGAAAAUCAAUUAUUCGACAAGUCAUUGCAAGAUUUUUAGAUCAGAUGAAUCAACAUAUUGUCAUUUCAGUAAAUAAACGGAAUUGAAAAAUGUAGAAAGUAAGUUAGCAGGGUGAAAUUCAUUAGAACCAGAAGCAAAAAAGUUAACAGACCGCAAAAUACAAAUCACGGCGGAUAAAAAUUUUAUUGGAGAAUAUUUCAUAGAGUUUAAUAUAUGACGCUUUAUUUUUUGUUCUAGUUCCACCAAACUACUGUUAUAUCUGCUUUCGUCUUACUCUUUGCUCAUUCCAAAUAAAUUCAAUAGCGUCUGAAUAGUCGAU